UAGUGAGUAGUUUAAGUAAAACGAUAGGUUGUGGUUCUAUAAAUAGGAUUGGUCUCUCAUUAA
rnacentral:tRNA from 2 species